rnacentral:rRNA from 1 species
UAACACAUCGGAACGUGCCCAGUCGUGGGGGAUAACGUAGCGAAAGCUACGCUAAUACCGCAUACGAACUCUGGUUGAAAGCGGGGGACCUGCAAGGGCCUCGCGCGAUUGGAGCGGCCGAUGGCAGAUUAGGUAGUUGGUGGGGUAAAGGCUCACCAAGCCGACGAUCUGUAGCUGGUCUGAGAGGACGACCAGCCACACUGGGACUGAGACACGGCCCAG